rnacentral:rRNA from 1 species
GACAGAGGGUGCAAACGUUGUUCGGAAUUACUGGGCGUAAAGCGCGUGUAGGCGGCCCUGCAAGUCGGAUGUGAAAUCCCACGGCUCAACCGUGGAAGUGCAUUCGAAACUGCAGGGCUAGAGUCCUGGAGAGGAAGGUGGAAUGCUUGGUGUAGAGGUGAAAUUCGUAGAUAUCAAGCGGAACACCGGUGGCGAAGGCGGCCUUCUGGACGAUGACUGACGCUGAGACGCGAAAGCGUGGGGAGCAAACAGGGAU